rnacentral:lncRNA from 1 species
GCUUAGGACUUGAAGCAAAGAGGUUUGAAAAAUUCUUCAAACUUCAAACUAGCUUUAUUAGAUUCAAUCACUAUCCUCCAUGCCCUUAUCCUCACCUAGCUCUUGGCGUCGGACGACACAAAGAUGCUGGUGCCUUAACUAUUCUUGCCCAAGAUGAGGUUGGAGGACUUGAAGUGAAGCGUAAAUCGGAUCAAGAGUGGGUUCUUGUGAAACCUACCCCGGAUGCUUACAUUAUUAACGUUGGUGAUAUCAUUCAGGUACUUUUGGCCUAAGUCAUACGGUAUUGCUUUUUUAUGAAUCACUGAUACAUACACCAAACACGACAUUAACAUUAACACAUUGAUAUCAUGUCAUUAUUGGACACUAACACGUAUCAGGCACCAAACACAUCUUCGAUCCGAUCCGAAGUGUCUAUGCUACAUCUUUUUAUUUUUAUUAUUAUUAUUUAAAUUGUUUUGUUGUGCAGGUUUGGAGCAAUGACGCAUAUGAGAGUGUUGAACAUAGGGUAAUGGUUAACUCUCAAAGAGAAAGGUUUUCAAUUCCUUUCUUUUUCUUCCCUGCACAUGAUACUGAAGUCAAGCCUUUGGAAGAGCUGAUAAAUGAUGAAAACCCUUCAAAAUAUAGACCUUACAAUUGGGGCAAGUUUCUUGUCAACAGAAAGAGUAGCAAUUUCCAGAAGAAAAAAGCGGAGAACGUCCAAAUUUAUCACUAUAAAAUAGCUUAAGAGAUUAUAAUAAAAGCUUAGCUUGUGCAUGUAAAUAAAUUGGGUAUAUUGGAAUAAAUUGAAUAAUAUGUUGCAGCAGAUUGAUCCAAAGACAGUGUUUCUGAUGAGUGACUACAAUUGAAUUUGCUGUUAAAUAUUACUAGUGUGUGUAUGUGGAAUAAUUAUUUAUGAAAAUAUAUAUAUCCCUAAAUNNNNNNNNNNNNNNNNNNNNNNNNNNNNNNNNNNNNNNNNNNNNNNNNNNNNNNNNNNNNNNNNNNNNNNNNNNNNNNNNNNNNNNNNNNNNNNNNNNNNNNNNNNNNNNNNNNNNNNNNNNNNNNNNNNNNNNNNNNNNNNNNNNNNNNNNNNNNNNNNNNNUCAUCAUCAAUAAUAUUUUAUUGUUCCUUAUUAUUUUCUCCUAUUCUUUCACCUAAAUUCCCCAAAUUUCAACAAUAUGCAUUUCUUUAUUACUAUAAAAUAGUUACAGAGUUAAUUCAGUUGGUACAAAAGUUAACUCAUACUCUGAAGUCUGAACGAACGUAAGUUCAACUUCUGCUAAACUUUGAGGUCCGCUUUGAUCUCAAACCCAACCUAAACUUUAACACAAAAAAAAAGAUAGCAGCCGUAUGAGUUUAGUUGAACUUACGUUCGUUUAGAGUAUGAAUUUGCGUUCGUUCCACCUAAACUUUUAACACCCAAAAAAAGAUAGUUAGCCUUCACCUAAACUUUCCACCCUACUUUGUUCAUGAUGUUGAAAUGAGGCAAAUCAUGAUUGAUGUUUGUGCACAAUUAAGCGAUUAACAGCCGUCCAAAAUCAGAUUCUGGAGGUAUUAUCGAAGGACCUUUUUGUUGGGAUGCUGAGUCAGAAGCAAAUAAACUAUGUUACAUUGGUUGCAAGAAUUUGGAUUUAUUUAUCUAUCUUCUAAAUUUCAAUAGCUUUCAAAGAUAGUUUUAUUGAACAAGCAAACAAAUCCAUUUCUAACUUUUUGUUAACUAAGAAGGAUAUAUUUUGACCUUAGGAAUGGAAAUGGGUAAUCUCCAUUUCACUCAUGUUGACACCACUAAUUGUAAUAAAGGAGUAAAUAUUAUAAAUAAAAACACCUCAAAAUAAAGAGUACAACCAAUAUCUUCUUACUAUUUUUAGGAAUCGACAAAUCAUAAACAUAAUGAUCAACUUAGUAAAACUAAUAAAAAGAUAGCAAUUAACCUCACAAAGAAGUGGAGUUGCACAUUGCACAUUCUUGCAAUAUAAAGGGAUCAGGAUUCCAUGCAGUCAAUAACAACUGCAGUCAUGCAGUCACUGUAUGGAACACCCUUAGAUUAAAUUUUGGUGGGUCCAGAUUAAAAUAUGGAUGGCUGUGAUUAGCCUGCAGUCAAAUAGUGACUGCAGGGAAUCCAUUUCCAAUAUAAAGGGGUACAUUGCUAAAUUUAAAAUCGUUGACAUUCACAACUAUUAAUUCCUACCGGUUCACACUAUUUGGUCCUAUGUUGAUGAACUUAAUUCUUUCCUUGCAUCUAGUGAAUCAACCAAUGUUGUUGGACUGCUAUGUGCUAAAUCUAAGAUGUGCUGAGUUUGACAUCAAGGACUACCGUAGAUGGUUGGUAGGUUGUAAAUAGUUAAUAACAAAUCAAUUGUUCUCAAGCUUUUGUAUAUUUGUUUUAGAGUUUGAACCGCAUGCAUUACUAAUAAUAACAACAAGGUUCAUCGUAUGUGGUUUUAGGCACAAUUACAUAAAUCAUUUUAACUUUGAGACUCUAAAUAUGGUAGCAUUGGCAUCUAACCCUAAUUAUCACCAUACACUAUUCAUUUGUAUCAUAUUAGACUUCCUCCACAACUCACACAUCAACAACAUUAAAAUCAUAUAAUACACAGUUUAUGAAUAUGAAUGAAAUUGAUGAGAAAAUGACAAUUCAAUGGCCAAAUAAUUCAUGAUUUAUUCUUUUAUUCAUAUGUGUGGCUUCGCUUCUCAAUCUUUACGGGGAAGCCACCUUUCAUUAAAGAGGUAAGAUACGCAGUGUACUCCGGCUCAACCCCUUCAACCAUCGUCGGAACCACCCUAAAUUGUCUCAUAAUCCCGGCAACCACCCUCUUCAUCUGCAAGAAUGCCAUUUCCUUCCCUAUACAAACCCUAGGUCCAGCCUGAAAAACUGGAUAAUUAUAAAUAUCCAUCCCAACAAAGGUCCACUUCCCAUCCUUAUCCCNNNNNNNNNNNNCGUACGCUGCUUCUUUAGUUACCACUGGAACUGGAGGGUACAACCUCAUACUCUCACAUAACGACGCGUGAGUGUAAACCAUAUCCUUCACCUCAUCAUAACUAACUGUUUCCGAUUUUCCCAAAACCUCUUUGAGAAUCUCAUUCUCGACGUGACUAUGCUUAGAGAGUAACCAAAAGAACCAUGGGAGUGCUGCUGAAGUUGUAUCUCUUCCUGCAAGAAUAAAACUUAUUACAAUAUCAAUUACAAAAGAUUCAUCUGAAUGACCAGAAUUUAAAAACCGCGAUAAAAUAUCCAAUGAUUCCAACGAUGUUUUUUCUAUAAGCUCUUUUUUCUUCUCUCUAACGAUUCUUGUCGCUAGUCCUCUUACUUCAGCGACGGCCUCUUUCAGCCGUCGCUCGGUUCCAAUGUUUAGAAUUCUCUUCACUUUCCAUAGAAAUGGGAAAGCCGCGUUUACCCUCUUGCUGGUGAUUACUGAGCUGUCGUCGAAGGCUUUUACAAACGCGGUUUCAGGAAGCGAAGGGAGAAGAUACCGAGGAUCGAAUCCAAACGCGAUUAUGCAGAUAUUAUCGAAUGUGAAACGUUGGAGGAUGUCUUGGAAAUUAGAAAGGAUAGUUUGGUUUCUGGAAGCUUCGGAGAGAAUAGGCAGGAGACGAUCGGAGAGUUCAAUGUCGACCACCGUUUCAACAAACUUACGGAGGGAUUUAGUGUUGAAUUCGUGGCUGGAUAUUUGUCGUUGGAGCUUCCAGGUUUCACCGUCGGUGUUGAAGAUUCCGUCGCCAAGGAAAUCACUGCAGCAUUGGAUAAUCGUCGGACCUUUGCCGUAGCAAAGGAAGUUGGUUUUGAGAACGUGUUGGACGACAGCAGGGUCAGCUGUGAAGACUUGGCGGGAGCCGAAUGCGCGGUUGAAGACGAAGGUGGAGGAAGGGAUGGUUUGGAGGAUGUCGGAGAUCCAUUGGAUGCGACGGUGGAAAUUGGCUGCUAAAGAAAAAGCUGAACCGAAAAUGGGGUAAGAUUUGGGGAUGGCGGCGGUGGAGGGUGUUUUUGGGUAUUUUGAUAAUUUUGUUGUAGCUAAGAAUAAGAACGAAAUGAGAGUUGCAGAGAAAAGUAACAGUGAAAUCAAUGUUUGGAAAUCCAUGCUUAUCAACAAAAAAAGAAAUGUUUGGAAAUCCAUUUUAGGCAGCACGUUAGAGAUUGGACUUUGUGGUGACAGUUUGUUUUCCUUUUUUUUCUUUGUGGAGUACAAUAAUAAUAAUUGUGUUGAUAGCUGUGUACUCUCUUCUUAGUUUUUAUUUUAUAGAAACUCUUUCAACUUAACUAAGGUUGUGGGUUUGAUCAUUGACUUGUGCAUGCAGCAAUAUUAAAAUAUUUAUAGGGAGAGUUUAUCAUUCAUUUGAGUCUUACAAAAAAAAAUUAAUUAUUGAAUGUCACAAUCGUUAUUUUAAUUUUUGUAAAAAGAUGAAUUUGAAAUAAUUUUACUAUUUUUAAUUAAAAUAUCAUUAAAAUCAUUUUUAAAAUACAAAGAAAAAAUUACUUUUUUUAAAAGCUAACACAAAGCACCCUCAUGUAUUAAAUUCCGUAGAUUUACUUUUGUUUAAAUAGUUUAUAUAAAUUUAUGAUUAUUUUCUUAUGUAUUGAACAUUUACUGGUUAAUAAAAUAUAUUAAAUUUGUUUGCUUAAAAAAAAACAAAAACAAAUGCACUCUUAAUACUUUUUAGAAAAUCAUUAUUACUAGCUAGCAAAAAUGAUUUUUGCUAUAAUAGUAAACGAAGGAUGUGGUACGAGUUCUACUAUUGAUCUGUCUGAUAUUCCAAGACUAGAUUGAGUUUCCCUUUAAUCUCUUUCUUCUAUUCUCUCUAAGAUUGUUUGUUUCAAAGACUAACUUCAGCAUAUUGGAUUAAGAUUUCACAAGACAAUUUUAGCAAAAAAAAUCUUNNNNNNNNNNNNNNNNNNNNNNNNNNNNNNNNNNNNNNNNNNNNNNNNNNNNNNNNNNNNNNNNNNNNNNNNNNNNNNNNNNNNNNNNNNNNNNNNNNNNNNNNNNNNNNNNNNNNNNNNNNNNNNNNNNNNNNNNNNNNNNNNNNNNNNNNNNNNNNNNNNNNNNNNNNNNNAAGAUAGUCUAUUUCAUUCAUCACUAACAUUUUUCCCCAUGAAUUAAAAUACAUAUUAAGGGGGUGUAUUGGAUUAAGAUUUCACAAGACAAUUUUAGCAAAAAAAAUCUUGAAGAUUUUAAAAGACUUUGUGAGAUUGUAUUGAUUUUAUGAGAUUUUAGAAGACUUUUUUGAAUGACUUUUUCAAUCAAGAUUCUUAACACAAGAAUUUGUUAGACUUUAUCACACAGACUUUUGAGAUUUUGAAGUACUUUAUAGACUUUUAAGAUUUAAAUGAGUCAAUAAAUUCGAUAUAAAUUCCUUCUAAAAUAAUAAUGAAUCAAUCAAUGAAAAUUAAUUUUUCCUCAAAAAAAUCAACAAUCAUUAAUAUAAUAAAAAAAUCAAUGAAUAAACAAAAAUAUGCAUGCUCAAAAAAAAUCAAUGAAUAAACAAAAAUAUAUAUGCAUGCUCAAAAAACGCAAAAAGAAAAAAAUCCUUAUCAUGAACAUCUAGAAUAAGGAGAUAUACUUACUUACACAUAUCAUCAUUUCAACUAUCCCAAAUUUAUUCCCCUAAAUCCUUAUACGUUAUAUACAUAUUUUUGCUGUUAAAAAACAAAAUCCCAAUUUUUGGNNNNNNNNNNNNNNNNNNNNNNNNNNNNNNNNNNNNNNNNNNNNNNNNNNNNNNNNNNNNNNNNNNNNNNNNNNNNNNNNNNNNNNNNNNNNNNNNNNNNNNNNNNNNNNNNNNNNNNNNNNNNNNNNNNNNNNNNNNNNNNNNNNNNNNNNNNNNNNNNNNNNNGUUAGUCAAUUUAGUCCAUAAAAUUACUAACAAAAGAGGGCACUAGGGAUGUAUUUGCAAUUUUGAUACAUUCAGCACCAAUAUGACAGCGAGUUUCACUUGGGAUUCAACUCAAAUUGGUAUUUGAAACAAUUACGAUUUUUAAUGAAUAUAAUCAAACAGUUGGAAGGCAUAAAUGAAUACAAGAAGAAUAAUAACCCUUACCAUCUUGGCUUCCCAUAUUUGAGGAUUGAUAUAAAGCUAUUGCCACUUCAAAAUUCACCUAGACAUGUCUAGUUCAUAACCAAAAUAUCAGUUAAUAUAUGGUAAAAAUUGCAUGUCUAGUUCCUCAUACAUUGAUUUCUUACAUUUAAAGAGUAAGAUAUCAGGAACUAGACAUGUCUAGUUCCUCUCCUCAUACAUUGUUGUUUAUCCAACUGGUAAGAAGAUUUUCUCAGGUUAGAUAUGUAUAAUGAAUAAUGAUAUAGCCAGAAUUAUCUCACUCAGAGAGAUACAAAGGAUUUUGCUUUGAACUCAAAUAAGAAAUCAGAUUAUCUAAAUCAAAAUUGGAGAAGAUGGCAAAGCAAUCAUGGUGCAUCAUAAGUUCAUAACCAAAAUUGAUAAUGAAUUAUAUUUUAUGCAAGAGAAUGAUUACCAUAUUACUAGCUAGCUUACAAACUCUGCAGAGAUCACAUAAAUAACGGAUGGAUUUCAAUUAAGAUACAACUAGAAUAUCCAACCCAUCCAUCAAUAAAACACCAUAUCAUUGGAAAAAUUUAAAAUCAAUAACCUUCUUCGAUACCAUAUACGUAAGUACAUAACUACCAAAAUAUACCAAUCUGAAAAUUAUAUUGUAUACGGAAACCAAACUUUAACCUAUGCUUCUCAAGAAGCUCCUUUUAUAAAUUCUGCCAAAAUGUUGGAAGAAAAUGCAUUAUCGUUCAUGAAAACAUUCUUCUUCAGUAGCCGACACCUAUCCAGCCAAGUAAUAACAUCCAAAUAUUCAAAAUCACAAGAUAUAAGAUAUAAUAUUUGAGAUUAUGAUAUAAUAAGCUAGCACACAAAGCACACAAAGAAACCCUCCUCAAUUUAGUCUUUUAAUUAAGUACCACUCCCUCAUCCUACAUAGUUGCUAAGAUAUAGAAGAAUUGAAAAUGAAAAGAAAAAGGAAAGUACCUGUGUGGGUGGGUAGGUCUAAACAGGAACAGUGAGGAUAUUAGCAAGAGUACCCAAUACAGCAAAAGCGAGAAGAGGACUAAUAUCAAGAGAAUUGAAAACGGGUGGAAUAAUAUUCCUAAAUAAACUAAGAUAAGGAUCACAAAGAUCCCUAAUUGCUGAUAAUGGCUGUCUUUCCCAUGGAAUAUUUGGAAACCAACUCAGCAAAACCCUAACUAACAAAACACCGCUGUAAAUAUCCAGCCAUUUCUUCAAUCCAGCAGCAACAACAGUCAACGGAGUGUNNNNNNNNNNNNNNNNNNNNNNNNNNNNNNNNNNNNNNNNNNNNNNNNNNNNNNNNGUUACGAAAGCUUUGAUACAUAAAGCCGCCACGCCGAGUAUAGUAGUGACAGUUCGAGUGGAACCGGACAGAAUAUCUUCUUCUGGUGGUGCGGUGUGAUUGUUUGAACAAGUAAUGGUUCGGCGUUUGUGAUUGUUUGAAAGAAUAAGAAGAGAUUUCGUCGGAGGUGCGGUGCGGAUGGAUAGGUUUUUUUACUUCAAAAUUCACCUAGACAUGAAAACGAAGACAUUGGAGAAUGAUUGAAGAACUUGGGACGAUAAUGAAGAUGGCGCUUUGGGAUUUUUAGGGAUUUGGCGAUUUGGGAUUGGGAAUGAAAACGUACGUAGUUCUCGUUUGGCUUCGCGUAAGGGAUUGGGAAUGAAGAAUGAGAAUGAACAAAUUAAUGACCACUAACCACUACGGGUGAAUACCAAAUCAGUAGUGAAAUACAAUUAAAACAAAUUUCAACGUAAUUACAACAUUGCCACCGUGUCUACUUUUCACUACUGAUUUAAGAAAACCAGUAGUGAAAUCCCUUGUCUAUGAACGUUUCACUACUGGUAUUCAAAUAUCAGUAGUGGAAUCCUUUGGUCAAAUGGUUUUAACUACUGGUAUUCACAUACCAGUAGUGGAAUCUCUUAGCCAAAAGUCAUUUUUCUACUAGUGACACUUUAUGAGUCAACUAUCUAUCAACUGGAUCAAUUUUAGCAAAUUGUUAAAUUAUUUUGAGAAAUAUUUUGUCAAUUAAUUUUGAAUAGUAUAUGUGAGGAAAGACUUGACUUUGUUGUUCUGUUUACUUUCAAUUAUUUGGGUUAAAACGCAUUUACCCCUGUUAUGUUAGUGAAUUUCAUGUUUACUCUAAUUUUUUUUUUUUUUUAAAAAGCUAAAUAUAUAUAAAAGAACCCAAAAGCACAAGAAGUGCUUAAGUAGUUACAAGAAACAGAACAACAUAGAGGCUGGGUAGAUACAGACACGAUGGAAACACAGGCCAUCACAACUCUACCCACCUAGCAAAACCAGGGAGACAAGAAAGCUACAACAACAACAGCAAGAUAAAACAAAAAGAGCAGUAGCAGGGGAACACCAUCACAAAAACCAGAAAAACUGUAAGCCGAUCACCGCCAAAAACAAUCUCCCGGAUCCCACCUCCAUUCGUAGAAUAGGCACGGAUUUUUAGCCAUACGCUCAAUAUACCACUGCCAUGACAGACAUUUAAUCAUCUCUACUGCAUCAUCAACAUCUAUAGUGCCAUUAUUAAAGAUUUUGUUAUUUCUAGUCCUCCAUACCAACCAAAUAAACGUGUGCCAGAUAAGCAUCAUCCCCUUCUUGCCUCUCUUUCCUUUCCCACAGCCUACCAACAUAGAAAAAGAAAGUGGUAUAGUCGGUGAUAGCAGCAACGGUUGACCAAUCCACCGGACUAUCGAGUACCACAUCUUUGCCGUAAUAUCACAAUGAAGGAAGAGAUGGGCUGUAGAUUCAGUAUGAACAUUACAGAGUGAACAAUUAUUAUUGAUGCCACCUGUUACCCCUCUCAGAAACAAAUUCUCCUUAGUUGGGAUCCUAUCAAGCAACAACCGCCAAGAAAAAGAGAUAACUUUCGACGGCGCGGGGCUCUUCCAUAUAUUGAUAAAAGCAUAAAGUUGCAACUGCCCUAAACCAGAAGCAGGACGGAGUAACAUAAUUAGGCGCUGAUAUGCCGAUUUUGCCGAAAAUCCCGAUUGCGGGUCUGCCUUCCACCUCCAGCUAUCCUCCUGAGUCACUGGCUGGAACCCAUGUAUUACCUCGAUAAGCUGAAGGUAAAGCGCCUCCUCCCAAGCAAAAAAAUUCCUCCUCCACAACAACCUCCACCUCCAUCCAUCUGGUUCCACUCCCCCCAUCUGACUCAAUGUCAUCUGCUGCUGUACUGAAAUCGCAAAGAGCCUUGGAAAGGCUACGGCAAGUGAUUGAGUCCCCACCCAGACAUCAUUCCAGAAACUUGUAGAAUUACCAUCACCCAGAACUUUGGUUACACCUAAUUCAAAUCAUCUAUGGUCUUUAUCCAAUAAGCAAAUAUUACGCCACCAAGAUGAACCAACCCUCGAGAUGUGAUUCUCACCUAAGUUAUUCCUCCCCACAGCACCGUUACCAUAUUUCGCCACGACUAUCUCCAUCCAUAGACUACCCUCCGAAAGCAGCAGCUUCCAUCUCCAUUUCGCUAAGAGGCUUAAAUUGGUUAAUCUUAAGUCUCGAACACCCAAACCACCGUCCUUCUUCGGCCUGCACACAUCCUCCCACUUAACCCAACUGAUCUUGCUUCGGUUCGACAAGCCGCUCCAGAGAAACUUCCUUUGAAUUCUCACUACUUCUUUCCACACAUUGACCGGCAUUUUCAAAUAGGAGAGGUAGAAAAUAGGAACAGCAUUUAAAACCGCAUUCAACAUAACAAUCCUACCGCCAAAGCUAAGAUACUUGUUUCCCCACGAUCCAAUUCUACUCCGGAUAACAUCUAACAUUGGUUUCCAAGUGGACAUAAGUUUAGGAUUAGCACCCACCGGCAAACCAAGAUAUUUAAACGGCGUGUUACCAAUACGGCAAUUAAGGAACGUCGCCGCCAUCUCCAUGAAGUCAUUUGGCACAUUAACACCAAUGAUGUUACUCUUCCAAAAAUUCACCUUUAGCCCCGAAGCUAACUCAAAUCCUCUAAGAACCGCUUUAAGGGACCAAAUAUUCUCCACCGAAGCCUCCCCAAUACACAACGUGUCGUCCGCAUAUUGUAAAAUUGAUACCGGUAAACCAUCUCUACCCACUCGAAAAGGUUUAAAUCUGUCAAUUUCCACCGUCUUCCUCAUCAAAGCUCCCAAUCCCUCGGCAACAAGAAGGAAAAGGUGUGGAGCUAGAGGGUCACCUUGCUUGAGCCCCCGCUUAAUGUUGAUUUCCUCAGUAGGGCACCCGUUAACCAGCACCGACAUGUUACCGGAACACACACAAGUUCUCAUCCAAGCUCUCCAUUUAUCACAAAAACCAAAUCUUCUAAGAAUAUAAUCUAAAAACCCCCAAUCCACCGAGUCAUAUGCCUUCUCAAAAUCCACUUUAAAAAUCAAGCAACUAGCCCGAGUUUUUUUAGCAUAAUCAAUAACCUCAUUAACUGCCACCACCCCUUCCACAAGGUUUCUUCCUUUGAUAAAAGCAGACUGGGUAUUUGGAAUUAAGGACCCAAUCACAUUAGCUAACCGAGCUGCCAACACUUUAGAUACUAGCUUGUAUAGGCAGCCUAGCAAAGAAAUCGGCCUAAACUCACCCAAGGCUUGUGGUGUUGUAACCUUAGGAAUAAGCGUGAUAAAGUAAGAGAAAAAGCUCUUAGGAAGACAUUCAUUACCAUGAAAUUGAUCGAACAAAAUCCUAACUUCGUGUUUCAUCAAAUCCCAAAAGGAUUUAAUAAAAGCAAAACUAAAACCAUCGGGCCCGGGACUUUUCCUUGCACAAUUCAAAGGCAAUAACCAACAGUCUUCUCAUGAACAACCAGUCAUUUGGUGAAGCUCAUUAACCACUUAAGUAUAAUGUCUUGGUUAGUUGAGAACUAGUUUGUAGUUAGUUACUCAAUUAAAAAGUGUAAUUAUCCCUAUAAAUAGGACAUUUAUGAACAAGAUUAGUUUGAAGUUAACGGAUAAGAUGUUAUAUGAUUCAAAUUGUUCAUAAAUGAUGAGUAUACAACACCUUAUGAGUCGAAUUUGUGGGUUUGAGUUAGAUCAAUCUAAACUCUAUGGUAAUAUUAUAGAGUUUAAUUAUCUUAGAUAUGUUGUUAACUUUUGUUAUUGGGUCACUUUGGUCACGCUCCAGAUGUUCUGUGUAUGAAUAGGGUGGAUUAUAAGAGUAUGUGAUAUGACCUAAAACGUGUAAAGGUGGACAUCUUUCACCUUAUAGCCGAUUUUAUGGUUGAGUUAUUGGAGAGAAUCCAAAUCAUUGAUACUUAAAAUAAAAAGUGAAAAUAAUUCCAUUUGAAAAAGGCAGUGUUCUUUUAGUUUGAGUCAUUUAGAAUAUUCAAAGGUAGAAUUGAUACUCAAUUUAAUGGGUUAUGUAAUUGUGAUUAAAAUUAAUGUUAACAUGAGCAGGGCUAUAGUUGAUGAGUAUCUUGAAGAGAUGGAAAAGUUGGCCUUUAAGUUGCUGGAGCUAAUAGCAUUGAGCUUAGGACUUGAAGCAAAUAGGUUUGAAGAAUUCUUCAAACUUCAAACUAGCUUUAUUAGAUUCAAUCACUAUCCUCCAUGCCCUUAUCCUCACCUAGCUCUUGGCGUCGGACGACACAAAGAUCCCGGUGUCUUAACUAUUCUUGCCCAAGAUGAUGUUGGAGGACUUGAAGUGAAGCGUAAAUCAGAUCAAGAGUGGGUUCUUGUGAAACCUACUUCAGAUGCUUACAUUAUUAACGUUGGUGAUAUCAUUCAGGUACUUUUGGCCUAAGU